GCCAGGCGCAGUGGCAUGUGCCUGUAGUCCCAGCUACCCCAGAGGCUGAGGUGGGAGGAUCGCUUGAGCCCAGGAGUUCUGGGCUGUAGUGCACUAUGCCGAUCAGGUGUCCACACUAAGUUCAGUAUCGAUAUGGUGACCUCCCGGGAGCGGGGGACCACCAGGUUGCCUAAGGAGGGGUGAACCGGCCCAGUCCGGAAACGGAGCAGGUCAAAACUCCCGUGCUGAUCAGUAGUGGGCUCACGCCUGUGAAUAGCCACUGCACUCCAGCCUGGGCAAUAGAGCGAGACCUCGUCUCU
rnacentral:SRP_RNA from 1 species